rnacentral:tRNA from 1 species
GGGCCCGUAGCUCAGUGGCAAGAGCGGCGGACUCAUAAUCUGCUGGUCGCAGGUUCGAUCCCUGCCGGGCCCACAA